GACGAACGCUGGCGGCGUGCCUAACACAUGCAAGUCGAGCGAAUGAAGUUCUUUCGGGAACGGAUUUAGCGGCGGACGGGAGAGUAACACGUGGGCAACCUGCCUCAUAGAGGGGAAUAGCCUUCCGAAAGGGAGAUUAAUACCGCAUAAGAUUGUAGUACCGCAUGGUACAGCAAUUAAAGGAGCAAUCCGCUAUGAGAUGGGCCCGCGGCGCAUUAGCUAGUUGGUGAGGUAACGGCUCACCAAGGCGACGAUGCGUAGCCGACCUGAGAGGGUGAUCGGCCACAUUGGGACUGAGACACGGCCCAGACUCCUACGGGAGGCAGCAGUGGGGAAUAUUGCACAAUGGGGGAAACCCUGAUGCAGCAACGCCGCGUGAGUGAUGACGGCCUUCGGGUUGUAAAGCUCUGUCUUCAGGGACGAUAAUGACGGUACCUGAGGAGGAAGCCACGGCUAACUACGUGCCAGCAGCCGCCGUAA
rnacentral:rRNA from 1 species